UGAUUAACGCGAAGAACCUUACCAAGGCUUGACAUACACCGGAAACGGCCAGAGAUGGUUGCCCCCUUGUGGUCGGUGUACAGGUGGUGCAUGGUUGUCGUCAGCUCGUGUCGUGAAGAUGUUGGGUAAAGUCCCGCAACGAGCGCAACCCUUAUUGUCAGUUGCCAGCAUUUAGUUGGGCACUCUGGCGAGACUGCCGGUGACAAGCCGGAGGAAGGUGGGGAUGACGUCAAAUCAUCAUGCCCCUUAUGACCUGGGCUACACACGUGCUACAAUGGACGGUACAACGAGUCGCGAAACCGCGAGGUCAAGCUAAUCUCUUAAAGCCGUUCUCCAGUUCGGAUUGUAGGCUGCAACUCGCCUACAUGAAGUUGGAAUCGCUAGUAAUCGUGGAUCAGC
rnacentral:rRNA from 1 species